rnacentral:rRNA from 1 species
GUCCACGCUGUAAACGAUGUGUGCUAGACGUUGGGGAGCCUAGCUCUUCGGUGUCGCAGCUAACGCGGUAAGCACACCGCCUGGGGAGUACGGCCGCAAGGUUAAAACUCAAAGGAAUUGACGGGGGCCCGCACAAGCGGUGGAGCAUGUGGUUUAAUUCGACGCAACGCGAAGAACCUUACCAGCCCUUGACAUGUCCCGUAUGGGUCGGGGAGACCCGGUCCUUCAGUUCGGCUGGCGGGAACACAGGUGCUGCAUGGCUGUCGU